UAAAAAUAUAGUCUUGUGACAUAUGUCAUGAAACAUGAACAUGUGAAACAUAAAAGUAGUCUUUGUUGAGGAGAAUGUGAUUUCUUAGUAUUGUUGGUGGAAUUUGUGUAAUUUCAAUAAUAUUGUCAGGAUUAUCUUCAGUGAUUUUAAUUUUGAUUGAAGCGUACAUUUUUUUUUCAGUUAGUGAAAAUUAAUUACAGAUUAGUGUUGAGAAUGACAGUUGACAGUUGACGUUGAAUUGACUUGCACUUGAUAGACAGAUGACAUUGACGUUAUUGUGUUCGGUGUUGCGCAUUAACAAUUGUAGUCAAGGGCUAACUUGUAAAGAAUA
rnacentral:lncRNA from 1 species